AUCCAGAAUUGAUUAAUAUGGUGAAGGAAAGGCAUUAGAAGUAACUGAAUACCUGACCUAAUUCUCAAGGAAUCAGUUUAAGGAAACAGCUGUUACCACCCCAAAAGAGUUUAUGGCAGCUGGAGAUCACUUAGCUGUCCACUGCCCGACACAGCAAUGGGCUACAGGGGAAGAACUGAAAAGAGAGGCAUAGCUACCAACAGGCAAAUAAUUUUUGGUAGCCAAAAAUGUGGCAUGCUACAUCCAGUCAAAACAGAUGGCAUAUUCAGGUGAAUUGGAAGCUAUCACUGAAGAUGAUGGUGGUAGGGCCUGGGUAGAUACACAUCACAGCACAGGAAUUGCAGGAAUAAACAAAUAGGUUGAGGAGAUUAUACUUACAAGCAAAAAUGGUAUAAAACUCGAAAACUGCUCAGUCUUAUGAGAGGAAGAAGAAAAAGAUGAAGGAAAAUCUACAUUUAUGGAAUAAUAUGAAGAGAGUGGGUUGCUGGAAGCAGAUAAAGCUACCCUAGAUGAAAGGAAAAUAGAAGAAGCUUGUAAAGCUUAAAGUGAUGUUGGAGGUGAAGAUGCUCUUUUGCAAACCAAAACUUGUGACCUUUACAUCACAUAUGGUAAAUAUUACCAGAUGGCACAACUAUGGUUUUUUGGCUAUGAUGAGGAACAGCAGAUUUUCACAGCUGAACACAUGUAUAAAGACAUCAUUCAAGACCAUGUGAAGAAAACAGUGACCACUGAAAAUCCCUCCACCAAUCUCCCUCCACCUCCUAUGAGAUAAUGGAGAAAAUCAUUAAGACUACUGCAGAAAAAAGGGGAGAACAUUUGGUGUUCACGUGUAUCUUCUAAUUUUCUUGAAAUAUGUGCACACUGUCAUUCCAACCACAGCAUAUGACCAUAAAAGACACUUCACAAUGUAA
rnacentral:lncRNA from 1 species